GGAUGUGCCCGGCACGGGGGCGUGGCCAGCACCGGGGGCGUGGCCUGGGCACGGGAGGCCGGUUGCCAAGCAACAGCUUCCUCAGCACAGCCAGAGACGCCGGAGCGGCCUGGUUGGGGAGCCGGGGAGAGGCGCCCAUGUCCGUCCCCUUCUCCAGCACCAACGUACGGCUGCCUAAUGGCUUCGAGAACCUGCUGGAGGGGCUGGUAAAGGAGGUGCUGCGGGCGCAGCCCAAGGACGUGGUGGGUUUUGCUGCUCAGCACUUCCAGACGCUGCUGGAGCAGAGAAAGGCCAGCUCGGCCGACCCGGCGCAGGAGGACCAAGAUCUCAUCCAGCCCCCUCUCCAGGAGGGAGCGUGCACGAAGCUGGACGAGGACAUCCUGGACAUCCCCCUGGACGACCCCGACGCCAACGCGGCCGCCGCCAAAAUCCAAGCGAGUUUUCGGGGCCACAUGACCCGUAAGAAGAUCAAAGGGGGGGAGAUCGACCGAAAACCCAAGGACGCCGAAUGCGCCAACAGCACCCGCGGCGGCGACCUCCGCAACGGCGAUUAGCAACACCACCCCGAACGCCUCGCCUCAGCACAUGCUAUUUUUAAAAGCCUGUGUCACAGUCUCCUGGCAGGAAAAGGUCCCUCCCGCCGCCGCCCGGUCCCCCCCGCUGCCCGCAGAGGCCCCGGAGCCGCCGCUUCGCCCCCCCAGCCCCGCAUGUGCCCCCCGGGGCCGCCCCCGCCUGCCCCCCCCCGCCCCGGACCCCCCCAAUAAACAGAGCUGCUGUGACAUCA